GCCAGUGUGGUGAAAUGGUUUGAGCACUGGACUAUAACUUUGGAGACUAGGGUUUGAAUCCCUGCUCUGCCA